rnacentral:rRNA from 1 species
GAUGAACGCUGGCGGCGUGCCUAAUACAUGCAAGUCGAGCGAACGGACGAGAAGCUUGCUUUUCUGAUGUUAGCGGCGGACGGGUGAGUAACACGUGGAUAACCUACCUAUAAGACUGGGAUAACUUCGGGAAACCGGAGCUAAUACCGGAUAAUAUUUUGAACCGCAUGGUUCAAAAGUGAAAGACGGUCUUGCUGUCACUUAUAGAUGGAUCCGCGCUGCAUUAGCUAGUUGGUAAGGUAACGGCUUACCAAGGCAACGAUGCAUAGACGACCUGAGAGGGUGAUCGGCCACACUGGAACUGAGACACGGUCCAGACUCCUACGGGAGGCAGCAGUAGGGAAUCUUCCGCAAUGGGCGAAAGCCUGACGGAGCAACGCCGCGUGAGUGAUGAAGGUCUUCGGAUCGUAAAACUCUGUUAUUAGGGAAGAACAAAUGUGUAAGUAACUGUGCACAUCUUGACGGUACCUAAUCAGAAAGCCACGGCUAACUACGUG